rnacentral:rRNA from 1 species
UAUUGAACGCAUAUUGCGGCCACGGGUCCGUCCUGUGGCCACGCCCGUCUGAGGGUCGGCGACGUUGUACCCAUCGCUUGGGAGGCUCUGGCCCAGCGCGUUGAGCUUUCGUAGCCGAAAGGCUCCGUGGCUUGAAAUGCAGACCCGAAGAAGUCAAAAACUCGUUCGUCCUCGUGCGAGCAAAGGACAUGGCCCGGAUCGUUCGUAACUGUCUUUGCGAGCAAGAGCGGGUUGUUUUUGGCAGUUGACAUUUCCGACCUCAGAUCGGACGAGAUUACCCGCUGAAUUUAAGCMUAUCAC